GGGGGGGUCCCUAAUCAUGCAGCUCGAGCGAUGAAGCUUCUUCGGAAGUAGAUUAGCGGCGGACGGGUGAGUAACACGUGUGCAACCUGCCUCAUAGAGAGGGAUAGCCUUUCGAAAGGAAGAUUAAUACCUCAUAAGAUUGUAGUUUCGCAUGAAACGGCAAUAAAAGGAGCAAUCCGCUAUGAGAUGGGCCCGCGUCGCAUUAGCUAGUUGGUAAGGUAAUGGCUUACCAAGGCGACGAUGCGUAGCCGACCUGAGAGGGUGAUCGGCCACAUUGGGACUGAGACACGGCCCAGACUCCUACGGGAGGCAGCAGUGGGGAAUAUUGCACAAUGGGGGAAACCCUGAUGCAGCAACGCCGCGUGAGUGAUGAAGGUCUUCGGAUUGUAAAACUCUGUCUUUGGGGACGAUAAUGACGGUACCCAAGGAGGAAGCCACGGCUAACUACGUGCCAGCAGCCGCGGUAAUACGUAGGUGGCAAGCGUUGUCCGGAUUUACUGGGCGUAAAGGGAGCGUAGGUGGAUAUUUAAGUGGGAUGUGAAAUACUCGGGCUUAACCUGAGUGCUGCAUUCCAAACUGGAUAUCUAGAGUGCAGGAGAGGAAAGUGGAAUUCCUAGUGUAGCGGUGAAAUGCGUAGAUAUUACGAAGAACACCAGUGGCGAAGGCGACUUUCAGGACUGUACUGACACUGAGGCUCGAAAGCGUGGGGAGCGAACAGGAUUAGAUACCUUGGUACUACACGCCGUAAACGAUGAAUACUAGCUGUUUGGACUUCGGUCUGGGUGGCUAAGCGAAAGUGAUAAGUAUCCCCCUGGGGAGUACGUUCGUAAGAAUGAAACUCAAAGGAAUUGACGGGGGCCAUCACAAGCGUUGGAGCAUGAGGUUUAAUUCGAUGAUACGCGGAGGAACCUUGCCAGGGCUUAAAUGUAGUCUGACAGGACUGGAAACAGUUUUUUCUUCGAACAGAUUACAUCGUGCUGCAUUAAGGCAAUUUAGCAUUGGAACUGCCGAAUUUGCGAUGCAUGUUACUAACCACGAAUGAUCGCUGAUUGAUCGAAAGCCUGGCUAGCGAACAGGAUUAGAUAGCCAUGGUAGUGACGCCGUAAACGAUGGAUACUAGCUGUUUGGACUUCGGUCUGAGUGGCUAAGCGAAAAGUGAUAAGUAUCCCACCUGGGGAGUACGUUCGCAAGAAUGAAACUCAAAGGAAUUGACGGGGGCCCGCACAAGCGGUGGAGCAUGUGGUUUAAUUCGAUGAUACGCGAGGAACCUUACCAGGGCUUAAAUGUAGUCUGACAGGACUGGAAACAGUUUUUUCUUCGGACAGAUUACAAGGUGCUGCAU
rnacentral:rRNA from 1 species